GUCCCUAUAGCGCAAUGUAUAGCUCGUUGGACUUCUAAUCUAAAGCUCGGGGGUUCGAAUCCCCCCUGGGAUG